UUGACUUUUUCCAUAUAUAUAUAUAUAUAUAUAUAUAUAUAUAUAUAUAUAUAUAUAUAUAUAUAUAUAUAUAAAAAAAAGUUUUUCAUGUUCCAAGCUAAAUCAAUUCCAAAUCUGUGAGUCAUUCAAGAACCAUAUGUGGCCCUACUACCAGCAAGGCCCUGUUAGCCUCCACCCCUGCCUGGGGGCUUCAAAUGCUUCCAAAUCCUCUGGCGGGCAUCCUAGGUGCAGGCCUAAGCCCUGAAGCAUGGGGUUCAGAUGCCCCUGAGUUUGGCUUGCCCUCAGCUGUACGGCCUCAGGAGCAAGCUAAGGAGGAGUCCUCCAUUUCCAUAGUUGUCGCCUAGCCGAGAUCCUACCACUGGAAGCUGGGCAGUCAGAAGCUAACUGAGGCUCUCGCAGGGAGUCCUGUCCGCAAGCAGACAAAGCCACCUCUACUUCUUCGCUGUCUGGCUGCUCGGCAUCACCCCUCUCCAAGGACUGAGAUCUUGCAGUGGUGGGGAGGCUCGUGUGUCCCAAUGACCCUCUGAGCUAUGUUGCCCAGAGUCAUACUCCUGGCUAGGUCAUCAAUGGAGAACAGGCCUGCGGCGAGGUUCCAGGCAAACCGUGAUCCAACCCCAAGUCCUAAAUGGUGGCUCAGGCAGGAGAUGAUGUCAGGAUCUCUACAGCUGUAAACAUGGAAAAGGGAUGCAGCAGAUGGAGGUCUCCUAUCGUUUAGAGCAGGGGUUCCCAAACUUUUUAUGCUGCGGACCGGCAAAUUGCGGACCAAUGGUGAAUGGCAUACUGCGGACAAGCAGCCAACCCGUUUUUAUAUUCAGCCACUUCUGGGCUUCUGCUCUGGCAGCCAACCCUCCUGCAGACUGGCAGCCAACCCUUCACGGCCAGGUACCGGGCCACGGCCUGGGGGUUGGGAACCUCUGGUCUAGGGUUUUCCCUUGCUGUUAGGCUCAGAUCUCCACCUCAUCAAGAUCAUGUGGUUACUGUUGCUGUGCACCAGGUUCCUUGUGUUAAACAAAGUCAGGUGCCAGCUUCUACCACAGGAAAUAACACAUUGGGUAUCAUGCCAUCCAGAGAUGUGAGGGGUGGUGGCCACUUUUACAGACUGCUUUGGGCCUAUGUGAUCAUGCACAUCAUAGCAAGUGGAUCUCAAGCUGGGGAGCCCAGUUAUGAUCUGAAUAACCUGUGCAAUCUGAUGAAUGUUAUAUCUGAUUCUGCUCCACCAAGGAGCUGCAGGAUUGGGGUAGAGAUUGGAGGGGUGGUAUUGGUUUGGAGGCUUUUCUUAUUUCAGCUGAGGGAUUGUAUUUUUGUGUUUUUUUUCCUUUCAUGCACUGUGCGUGUUAAAUGUCAGGCUUCUCACCUACACAGUACAUGUUUCCGGAGCUUGCUGGUUUGAUUGCUUCAGAGGUGAUCUUCAGAGUUCUUUACUUCUAUUAGUGUCACUGUAACAGGGAAUUCAUACCCUGUUACCUGGGGAGUAAGGGAAGGGAAGGAAAAAAAAUGGUGGCAGGGAGCUAGGAGGCCCUGGCCCCUUUAGGAGAACUCAGUGGGCUCAGCUGGCCCUGGCUGCAGGAGGGCAGGCUUCCUCUUGAUUGACAGGGAAAGCCCUGUGCAGAGCUCCAAGAGGCACCUGAUCAAAAUGGGGCAUGGCUCCCAGCCAUAUAAACCCAGGGCCUGAGUUAAAGCAGUCAGUCUGGCUUUGGGAGCUGUUGAGGAAAGAGCUCUAGGACAGGAGAGCUGCAGAGGAGCUCCUGGCUGACAGUUAUAGCUAGAGUGCUUAUUUUGGGGGUUAGGGUUUUAUGCUGGUAGACCAGGUUGUGGCUACAAAGGGCAGAUGAGGCCAGGGGGGGGCACCUAAGGGACACACCUAGAACUGAGCCAGAGUGGGGUGCUUGAGGUAGGUGGCACACAGAGGCUUAAAGCCAUAGUGGUGCCUCAGCAGUACAAGCUGUUUUUGAGCCCUGCCAGGGGCUGGGGCUCAUGAUGGGCAAGUGGAGUCGAAGUAGGGUGACCACCUGUCCCUAGCUGGGCAGGACUUCAAGUCUUGGUCCUGGGCUGCAUGAUUCUGGGACAGCAUUUGUUCUAGAUUCACAGUAUCUGCAGGGAUUUUGAAAAGGCUGCCAGCCUGCAAAGGGCUGACAGGUGGUGAAUGACUGGGGGGUGCUAUGUGCAUGUGUGUGCCCCCACACAUUCACGUGGCCAGAAAAUACAGCUGAGAAGCAUGAAGAGCCUCUCCCUGCAGGUAUAUCUGUGGGGGAGAGGGGGCAUGGGAGAUCAGAGGGGGUGCAGAUUGAGGCCCCCACAGUGACAGAUGGAGUGGGGCAGGGGUGGAUGUGGGCUGCUCACUGGGGGCUUGGGGCUUGCUGCCCUGCCCCCGGGGGGCCCACAAUGGCUGUGCCACCUUGGUGAGGUACCCCUUGCCCACCUGGCAGCAAUGGGGACAGUGGUGGCAUGGAGUUGUGGCCCUGCUGCUGAGGGAAAGGCAGCAGGGUGGGGAGCCCUGAGCCUGCAGUUGGCAGCCCAAAUCCAGCACCUGCUCCGCUUGCCUCUGCUCGGCUCUGGUCCAGCUGUGGUGGCAGUGGCAGUAGGGAGGGGGGUGGGAGGAGGCAGGCAUGUGUACUGCCUUCCACUUUGGAAAAGGUGGUCACCUUAAGGCCAAAUGAGCCAGGAUCAUAUUACACCGGUAGUAGAGGUGGCCUGAGGCCAAGAGGGCUAAGGGUCAAAGCCUGAAAAGGGGGAAUUGGGGGCCAGGAGCUUAGAGCAAAGAGACAAGGGCCAAGGGCCCAAGCUGAGUGAGAUGGGCCAAGGGUCAGAUAAGGCUGAGAUUCAGAAGCCAAGCCUAGAGGGAACGGGCCUAGGCUGGCAGUUUGCAGCAAAGUGACCAGCAGGCUAAAACUAAGAGGGCUGAAGCCCCUACAAGCUGAUGCAUCAGUCUAGACUGACACCUGUGAGGCAUGGGUGUGACUAUGGGGGCAGCUGGAGGUCACAAAUUUAGGUCUUAAGGCAUGUAGGGCUGGAGAAUGAUGCUGAGAUGGAGAAAGUGCCUAGGCUUAUACCAGGUCUCCAAGGCAGCCUCCCCUUGUUACUUUAACAACCAGGUGUGGCAGGAAAGGAAUCAGGGUGAUACUCUGGGAGGCUGGAGUGGGAGCAGGACAGGAUAGAGAUGAUUUAAAAAAAAAAACAACAACAACAAAAAAACAAAGGAGUGGGGGGGGUAAAAUACUGCCUCACUUGUUAUAAUCACCCUAACCUUUGUUUAUAUGUAUCUUUACAGACAUGUCUCUUACCUUGGGUUGGAAACAUGCCAAUCUAUUCCUUCUCGGCCUCUUGUCGGCUCAGAUCGAGCGUAGUCCUAUGCUUGCCUGGCAAGGGAAACACUGUGACUGCUGGGGCGGUCUCCUUAGUUGCACCUGGGGAAGACCGCUCUCCUGAUACAGGGAUAGUACCUGCCAAGGUAAUGUAUAGGAAACCUCCCACUUAGCUGCUGGAGUGGGAAGGUCUUGGCUUUAUGCCUACUUUAAGGAAAGGGGAGACUCCUCCCUAGCUUGCUCCUGCAGCCUUAUGGCUGAGUGCAAGCAAAACACAGGAGCAUCUGAACCCCAAGCCUGCGCGCUUGGGCCUGUAAAAGUAGGAUGCCCGCCAAAGGACUUGGAAACAUCUGAAGCCCCAGAUAGGGGUGGAGGAUGGUUGCUGGUAGUAGGGCCACUUAUGGUUCUGGACUGACUCAUGGAUUUGGAAUUUGAUUUGGCAAAUUUGGCUUGGAAUAUGGAAAAUUUUAAUUUAAAAAAUUCUUCUAGGAACCUUGGUGCUCUGCAGGAAUCUGUCUUUGCUUGUGUAAGUGUUCAAUUAUUUUGCUCUCUAUUAAUACCUACCUCUGUUUAGUUAACUGCAGCAGAGCAUACUUGUGUCCCAUAUCCCCGUAUAAAAUAAUUAGGUAGAGAGUAAUCCGAGAGUAUAGUGCCAUCAGUGACUCUGGAUGAUCUUGUUCUUGCAGGGACAUUUCUUGAUUUUUUUGAGGGAUAAAACCUCUGAAAGUGAUUUGCCUUGGAAAGGUAGUGUAAAUAUAACACGAGUGAAGGAUUAGAGAAUGUGGUAUGGCAUUCAAGAAUUUAGAGCUCUUAUUGAACACUUAGUUUAUAUUAAAAUCUGGUUACUAGUUAAGUCAAAGUCACAUUAUGUUUGCCUGCAAAACUCUCAACUGGUACCUCAUGUGAGCCUCUCGUAAGACUCUAAAAGAGUGCAUUUAAUCUUGUAUGUCUAGAAUAUCAAAGAUGUCCCACAUAGGUACUUUCUUCUCUUUGUAAAACUGACAUAAGUGUUCCAAAAAUAACACCUUCUUUUGUUUCCUUUGGUUAUCAUCACCUAUGAAACCAGCAAACUCGGUCAGGAACCCCUAUAUAAAAUAUUAUUUUGACAAAAGUAUCUUCUAAAAACUAUCUCCAGUCACUCUGUUCUUCUAUCCUUUUCCUCUCCCACCCCCCUUGCCAACUGGUGAAUUAACUAAAUGUUCUUAUAUUUUAACUUUUUUCAGUACCAUGCACAUGCCAAAUUAAAGGUGCUUUUUUUCAGCACUCUGAGCUCUAAGUUUGUGUUGACAACCCAUGUUGCUUGGUUAACAGGAAGUUUUCAUAACCAUACUGAAGUAGCUAAUGAAAUUACAAUAUUGUUGUGGCACAAUUACAUUUAUUUAAAAACACAUGGUGCUAAAUGACAGAAAAGAUGUAAUAGCCUAAACAAGGUGUCUGCAUAAAAGAAGAUGGUCAUGUUUUACUGUGAAGGUAGUUCUCUAGCCUCUAAGAAAUCAGAGUGUGCUGGACUAUUGUGGACAACUUCUACAAUUUUAAGAUCUCAUCUUUGCAGCCUGAUUCAAAACACCUGUCAGAAUUUGCCAUCUAUAUGCCCAUGUAAAUUUCUUGUUGGGAGAUUUGGCUUUCUUGAAGGGAAUGGGAGGAUUUACUUGCUUUUUAAAACUUGCAUAUUAUUCAAUAUUGUGAAUACAAUUUUCUGUAAGUCAUAUUACCUAGAAGAUGCUUCUUACUUGGUAGACAACAACAGUUUCUAGCUAAUACAGUUAGACCAGAAUCUCCCCUAGGGCGGGGGGUGGCGUAUACUUAGGACACACUGAGGUUCAGUGUGGUGCAUGUUUUUUUUUUUUUUGUUUUGUUUUUUCUCUCAUCCUCUUUGCAUGUGGUCAGUGACCUUGCAAAAGAUGUGCAUAUGUGUCAUGGGUCUAGGGCUUUCUAUGCCAGUGUUGUCAGAGAUCUGUAGAAAAUAAAUUUCCCAGCCAUAGAGAAUACUAAUCAGAUAUGCAAAGCAGGUGCCUCACAUGGAUCCCAAGAGAUUCUUCCUUUCAGUAGCACUGAAGGUUUUCAUGCUGUGUUUCAUUAGUUGUUUCUACUGUGGCUAUGCCUUCCACUCUACAGUACUUUGAGGAUUUCAUACUAGCUGGAAUCAGCAUUAACCACCCUGGCUCUUUUCUCUUCCAGUCACUGCUCAUGUAACCCCCCUAACAAUUUACCGAUGAAGCAAAUUUUCGGAGGUACCAUCAAUACAGGAGAAUCAGAAGAUCAUAUAGGAUGACAUUGAGGAAUAAUGGAAAUGGGGUGAAAACUAGUAGUACAAAGCACAAAGUCAUGCACUUUAGGACUAAAUAGAAUAUGAUAACGUCUGAUGUAUACUGGUUUCUUAUCAACUGGUAAGGACAACUGAUGAGGAGGGGAGAGACCUGGAUGCAACUGAUAACAGGAUUAGUAUGAGCUGCCAGUGUAAUACAGCUGACAAAGGAUUUCCAAUAGAGAUAGGGAAGUAUUACUAUCCGUGUAUAAGGCAGUGGUUAAGAUGUAACCUGGAAUAUGGUGUAGAAGAAAAAAUAAUUUCAUGUAGAAUAGGUACUGGAAAGACUAAGGAAAGAUUAUUGCUCUCUCUAAAUUCAUCAGAGGGGUAAAUAUCAAGAAGGAAAAGAGCUAUGUAAGUUAAAGCCCAAUUAAUGUCAGAAUUAAUUUAGGGUGAAAACCAGAAGACAGUUUUUAACUGUUAGACCUGAAGUAAAGACCUGGAACAGACUUUUCCUAUCAUUAGUAGGAGCAAACAACUUGCUUUAAGGUGGGGCUUGAUUGUUUUACAGAAGAGAUUAUGUGAUGUGCUUGCCUACAAUAGCAGGGGACUGGGAUGAAAGGCCCAGGAAGCCCCUUUCACUCAUGCUCCAGUUACAUGAAGGGUUUCUGUGGAUUGAGAGGGAGUGGAGUUUCCUUGAUAAUAGCCACUUGCUCCUACAUGCACAUGCCCUGUGUGUGUGUGUGUGUUUGCAUAAGCACAUGUACUGAGGGGAUAAUUUUUUACUUUUGUUUAUCACUACUUUGUUACCAGGAAGGCCAAAAAAGUUACUACCUGAAUCUGCCUUUUUAGAUGGAUGCUUUCAAAUGCUUAUCUAGGUGAUUUUUUUUUUUUUUUCUUCUUUCCAAAAUGUCCCAGUUUUUAAACAGUAGCAUUGACUACAGGCUCUUAAGUAACUUCCAGGAAUACAUUCAGUAGUUGUAGAAACCACAUCACCUGUGGUUUCUUCACCAGUCCUCUAUUAGCAAAUUUACAUGAAAUGUGUCUUAUGUGGUUUUAUUUGUGAAGAAAGAUUCUUUACGCUUGGAAAUAAUGGUUUUGUGUUAGAUUUAACAGAAAUAGAACUUUGUUAAGAAUUCAUAUUCUAUAUCCAAAUGAGUACUAGAAAUUCAUGAAAAUUCUGGGCAAAACCCAGUAAAAGAAAAAAAUGUCAAAAUAGACUUUUUCUAUACAUUUCUAUUACUGGAGAACACACACAACUCUGGCAUUGUCACUUCCUUUAUCAGGAAUGGAAUUUCAGUGUUUGUCUGAAUUAAAUAGUGGAACAUCUUCACUUUAA